UACGUAGGUGACCAGCGUUGUCCGGAUUUACUGGGCGUAAAGAGCGCGCAGGCGGUCGUUCAAGUCGAGUGUGAAAGCCCCCGGCUCAACUGGGGAGGGUCACUCGAUACUGAUCGACUUGAAGGCAGGAGAGGGAAGCGGAAUUCCCGGUGUAGUGGUGAAAUGCGUAGAUAUCGGGAAGAACACCCGUGGCGAAGGCGGCUCUCUGGGACGGUACUGACGCUGAGACGCGAAAGCGUGGGGAGCGAACAGG
rnacentral:rRNA from 1 species